GACGAACGCUGGCGGCGUGCUUAACACAUGCAAGUCCAACGGAAAGGCCCUGCUUUUGUGGGGUGCUCGAGUGGCGAACGGGUAAGUAACACGUGAGUAACCUGCCCUUGACUUUGGGAUAACUUCAGGAAACUGGGGCUAAUACCGGAUAGGAGCUCCUGCUGCAUGGUGGGGGUUGGAAAGUUUCGGCGGUUGGGGAUGGACUCGCGGCUUAUCAGCUUGUUGGUGGGGUAGUGGCUUACCAAGGCUUUGACGGGUAGCCGGCCUGAGAGGGUGACCGGCCACAUUGGGACUGAGAUACGGCCCAGACUCCUACGGGAGGCAGCAGUGGGGAAUAUUGCACAAUGGGCGGAAGCCUGAUGCAGCAACGCCGCGUGCGGGAUGACGGCCUUCGGGUUGUAAACCGCUUUCGCCUGUGACGAAGCGUGAGUGACGGUAAUGGGUAAAGAAGCACCGGCUAACUACGUG
rnacentral:rRNA from 1 species